UUCCCCUGCUUCUUCUUGCCCACUUCGUACCCGGGAGGCGGCGGCGGCGGCGGCCUCUCCACGCCGGGAAGAGCUGUAACCUGUAGCGGCAGGGAAAUCUCAUGAGAAGAAGGUUGCAAAGUGGAGAGGGGUAUGCAAACAAUAGAAUGGCAAAACAUGCCCAAAGGUAGAACAGAAGCACAAGAGAAGAUCGUGGGUGGAAGACUCCUGCACCUUUGUUUAGUUUUCCUUUUUAAUCAUUGCGCUUAUGAUACAGGGCAGGUGCUUCUGCCAAGUAACUGCUGUUAUUGUAGUGCUCCUAUUGUACUUGAUUUCUUGUCUUACAUCUUGCUUUGCAAUGCAAAUAAAAGUAUCCAUUUUUA